UGGGUAGAGUCCAGGUUGGCGGGUCCUGGGGCGGAGUCAGGAUAGGGCGAUCCUGGAAGCUGGGCUUCAGAAGCGUCCAGAUAGGGUCUCUCUCUCUGCCACCCAGGCCAGAGUGCAGUUGACGCAGGGCAGGGGAGCCCCGAAGUGGAGCAUAGUGUGUCCGGAACUGGUGGGUUCUUGGUCUCACUGACUUCAAGAAUGAAGCCGUGGACCCUCACGAGACAGGGUUUCACCAUGUUGGCCAGGCUUGUCUUGAACUCCUGACGUCGUGAUCUGCCUGCUUUGGCCUCCCAAAGUCCUGGGAUUACAGGCAUGAGCCACCGUACCCAGCCACUCUUGAUUAACUUAAUGGAAAUAUUUACAGAGAUUCUUUCUCUUCUGGGUUCUAGCGUCUUAUCUGUAACCUCUGCAGGGGAGUCACUGAGCAGAACGAAGCGAGUUGCCUGAGAUUCUUCAAAGCCCCAGCCCUUUUGGAGGUUACAUUGUUAUUCUCAGAGCCUUUAUGAUGCAUAAUAAAGACCUAGCUUGUACC
ensembl:lncRNA LINC02018 long intergenic non-protein coding RNA 2018